CCCGCGGUCAGACGGAAAGACCCCGUGCACCUUUACUACAGCUUUGCAUUGGUGUUAGGGACGACAUGUGUAGGAUAGGUGGUAGGCUUUGAAACUUGGGCGCCAGCUCAGGUGGAGCCACCCUUGAAAUACCACCCUUAUCUUCAUUGACAUCUAACCGCGGCCCGUUAUCCGGGUCCGGGACCCUGUGUGGUGGGUAGUUUGACUGGGGCGGUCGCCUCCCAAAUAGUAACGGAGGCGCGCGAUGGUAGGCUCAGACCGGU
rnacentral:rRNA from 1 species